rnacentral:rRNA from 1 species
AGCAGCCGCGGUAAUUCCGGCUCCAAUAGCGUAUAUUAAAGUUGCUGCAGUUAAAAAGCUCGUAGUUGAAUUUCGGGACUAAUAUGUCGGUCGUGCCUCGGUACGUACUGGCUUAUUGGUUUCUCCUUUCUGAAGAACCAUGAUGUCAUUUAUUUGGUGUCGUGGGGAAUCAGGACUGUUACUUUGAAAAAAUUAGAGUGUUUAAAGCAGGCUCAUGCUUGAAUACAUUAGCAUGGAAUAAUGAAAUAGGACGUUUGAUUCUAUUUUGUUGGUUUCUAGGAUCGACGUAAUGAUUAAUAGGGAUAGUUGGGGGCAUUAGUAUUCAAUUGUCAGAGGUGAAAUUCUUGGAUUUAUUGAAGACUAACUACUGCGAAAGCAUUUGCCAAGGAUGUUUUCAUUAAUCAAGAACGAAAGUUAGGGGAUCGAAGACGAUCAGAUACCGUCGUAGUCUUAACCAUAAAC